rnacentral:siRNA from 1 species
ACGAAUAUCGAUUUCUUUUGCCGU